GCCCCUGUGGUGUAGUCGUUGCAUAUCAGAAUUUAUGCGGCUUUCACCAUCAUUCCUGAAGGACCUGGUUCAAUUCCAGGCGGGGGCU